GAGUUUGAUCCUGGUUCAGAUUGAACGCUGGCGGCAUGCCUUACACAUGCAAGUCGAACGGCAGCACGGGGGCAACCCUGGUGGCGAGUGGCGAACGGGUGAGUAAUACAUCGGAACGUGUCCUGUAGUGGGGGAUAGCCCGGCGAAAGCCGGAUUAAUACCGCAUACGAUCUGCGGAUGAAAGCGGGGGCUCCUUCGGGACCUCGCGCUACAGGGGCGGCCGAUGGCAGAUUAGCUAGUUGGUGGGGUAAAGGCCUACCAAGGCGACGAUCUGUAGCUGGUCUGAGAGGACGACCAGCCACACUGGGACUGAGACACGGCCCAGACUCCUACGGGAGGCAGCAGUGGGGAAUUUUGGACAAUGGGCGAAAGCCUGAUCCAGCAAUGCCGCGUGUGUGAAGAAGGCCUUCGGGUUGUAAAGCACUUUUGUCCGGAAAGAAAACCUCGUGGUUAAUACCCGUGGGGGAUGACGGUACCGGAAGAAUAAGCACCGGCUAACUACGUGCCAGCAGCCGCGGUAAUACGUAGGGUGCAAGCGUUAAUCGGAAUUACUGGGCGUAAAGCGUGCGCAGGCGGUCCGCUAAGACAGAUGUGAAAUCCCCGGGCUUAACCUGGGAACUGCAUUUGUGACUGG
rnacentral:rRNA from 1 species